CCCUUAGAGUUUGAUCCUGGCUCAGAUUGAACGCUGGCGGCAUGCCUUACACAUGCAAGUCGAACGGUAGAGUAGCAAUACUCGAGAGUGGCGAACGGGUGAGUAAUAUAUCGGAACGUGCCCAAUCGUGGGGGAUAACGUAGAGAAAUUUACGCUAAUACCGCAUACGAUCUAAGGAUGAAAGCGGGGGAUCGCAAGACCUCGCGCGAUUGGAGCGGCUGAUAUCAGAUUAGGUUGUUGGUGAGGUAAAAGCUCACCAAGCCGACGAUCUGUAGCUGGUUUGAGAGAACGACCAGCCACACUGGGACUGAGACACGGCCCAGACUCCUACGGGAGGCAGCAGUGGGGAAUUUUGGACAAUGGGCGAAAGCCUGAUCCAGCAAUGCCGCGUGCAGGAAGAAGGCCUUCGGAUUGUAAACUGCUUUUGUACGGAACGAAACGGCUCUUUCUAAUAAAGAGGGCUAAUGACGGUACCGUAAGAAUAAGCACCGGCUAACUACGUGCCAGCAGCCGCGGUAAUACGUAGGGUGCGAGCGUUAAUCGGAAUUACUGGGCGUAAAGCGUGCGCAGGCGGUUAUAUAAGACAGUUGUGAAAUCCCCGGGCUCAACCUGGGAAUCGCAUCUGUGACUGUAUAGCUAGAGUACGGUAGAGGGGGAUGGAAUUCCGCGUGUAGCAGUGAAAUGCGUAGAUAUGCGGAGGAACACCGAUGGCGAAGGCAAUCCCCUGGACCUGUACUGACGCUCAUGCACGAAAGCGUGGGGAGCAAACAGAUUAGAUGCCCUGGUAGUCACGCCCUAAACGAUGUCAACUGGUUGUUGGGUGCAUUAGUACUCAGUACGAAGCUAACGCGUGAAGUGACCGCCUGGGGAGUAC
rnacentral:rRNA from 1 species